GACGAACGCUGGCGGCGUGCUUAACACAUGCAAGUCGAACGGAAAGGCCCUGCUUUUGUGGGGUGCUCGAGUGGCGAACGGGUGAGUAACACGUGAGUAACCUGCCCUUUACUUUGGGAUAACUUCAGGAAACUGGGGCUAAUACCGGAUAGGAGCACCUGCUGCAUGGUGGGGGUUGGAAAGUUUCGGCGGUUGGGGAUGGACUCGCGGCUUAUCAGCUUGUUGGUGGGGUAGUGGCUUACCAAGGCGUUGACGGGUAGCCGGCCUGAGAGGGUGACCGGCCACAUUGGGACUGAGAUACGGCCCAGACUCCUACGGGAGGCAGCAGUGGGGAAUAUUGCACAAUGGGCGGAAGCCUGAUGCAGCAACGCCGCGUGCGGGAUGACGGCCUUCGGGUUGUAAACCGCUUUCGCCUGUGACGAAGCGUGAGUGACGGUAAUGGGUAAAGAAGCACCGGCUAACUACGUG
rnacentral:rRNA from 1 species